rnacentral:tRNA from 3 species
GGGCUCGUGGCUUAGCCAGGAUAUAGCGCCGGGCUUCUAACCCGGAUGCCGGGGGUUCGAAUCCCCUCGGGCCCG